rnacentral:rRNA from 1 species
GACGAACGCUGGCGGCGUGCUUAACACAUGCAAGUCGAGCGGAAAGGCCCGGCUCUUGUGCGGUGCUGGAGUGGAGAACGGGUGAGAAACACGUGUGUAACCUGUCCUUGUCUUUGGGAUAGCUUCAGGAAACAGGGGCUCUUACAGGGUAGGAGCUCUUGCUGCAUGGUUGGGGUUGGUAAGAUUCGGCGGUUGGGGAUGGAAUGGCGGCUCAUCAGCUUGUUGGUGGGGUUGUGGCUUACCAAGGCUCGGAGGGGUGGCUGGCCUGGGAGGGUGACAGGCCACAUCGCGACUGGGAUGCGACCCGGACUCCUACGGGAGGCAGCGGUGGAGAAUAUAGCACGAUAGGAGGAGGCCUAAUCCAAGAACGCCGCGUCGGGGAUGACGGCCUGCGGGUAGGAAACCGCUUUCGCCUGUGACGAAGAGUGAGUGACGGUAAUGGCUAAAGAAGCACCGGCUAACUACGUG